rnacentral:lncRNA from 1 species
AGCGACGGCAGCACGUUUCCCACGGGGGGCAGGCGCAAUGCUAGUGCUCCUGUCUGUGCUUCCACUGCAGCCACAAAACACAACUGAGGGAUUGAGGUUCCCUGCCCACUUUAGAGGCCGGCAAACAGGACCAGAGCCACAGUUGGGGAGGUGCAGGGCUCUGUACCGCUGAGGCCACAGCACUCCCCAGCCGAAUGCUGGUCGCCGCCCGACACGGGGAACAAGCCGAUCUCAGAAAUGGCCACAGCAGAGAAGGAAGAAGGAGAUUUGAGACCCAGAGAAACAGAGGAAGAGGCCAUGAGAACAUGGAGGCAGAGACUGGAGGGCAAUCAUGAACUAAAAACCACCAAGGAUUGCAGAAGUCACCAGAGGCUGGGAAAGAGGCACAGCAUGGAUUCUUCCACAGAGCCUCCACAUGGAACCAGUACUGCCAAAACCUUGAUUUCAAAUAUCUGGCCUUAAAAACUGUGAAUAAAUAAUUUCCUAUUAAGUCA